GGGCACCUCGGCCCGCUCCGUGUGUGACGUGAAGGACCUCCUCCUCCGACACACAGCAGCAGCAAUGGCGGAGUACGACAGCUACGACGAGCGGGAGCGGAGCUACAGCAGCUUCGGCGGCGGCAGAGGGUCCCGUGGCAGCAGUGGCCCCGGAGGCCCCGGAGGACCCAAGAAGCAGAAGGACCUGCCGUCGGAGCCCCCGUUCACGGCCUACGUUGGAAACCUGCCAUUCUACGCGGUGCAGGGAGACAUCGACCUCAUCUUCAAAGAGCUCAAGAUCCGCAGCGUCCGAUUGGUCAGAGACAAAGAAACGGACAAGUUCAAAGGUUUUUGUUAUGUGGAGUUUGAAGACCUGGAAUCUCUAAAAGAAGCUCUGACGUACGACGGAGCUCAGCUCGGUGAGCGGUCGCUUAGGGUCGACAUCGCAGAGGGUCGGAGGCAAGAGCGAGGAGGAGGAGGAGGAGGCGGCUUCGGCUUCAGGAAAGAUGAAGGUAGAGGACGAGGAGGAGGAGGAGGAGGAGGUUUCCGUGGUUCUUCCAGAGGCGGGAGUGGACGUGAGGACUUCGAGCCGGCGGGAGGACGAUCGGACAGAGAGUUCAGCGGCUCAGGUUGGACAACAGCAGAUCCCAGCCGGCCAAUCACAACAGGGUUGGGCUGUCUGUCUGCCUGCCUGUCUGUCUCUCAGCAGGUUUUAGAGAUGACGACUUCAGUGGCCGGACUCGGGGCGGCGGUACCAGUCGCCCCUCUGACAGGAGGGGGGCAGGAGGAGCAGGAGGAGGAGCAGCAGGAGGAGGAGCAGGAGGAGCGGGUCGCUUCAGAGACGGACCUCCUCCUGCUGACUUCAGGGAACCGUCUGACGAGGAGCGAGCACAGCGGCCUCGGCUGCAGCUGAAGCCUCGGACCGUCUCUGAGCCCCUCAACCAGGUCGCCAACCCGAACUCCGCCAUCUUCGGUGGAGCCAAACCGAGAGAGGAGCCCUGAGUCAUUUCACCCUGCGACAGCCUCCCAGCCAGACGGUGGCGCUAACGCGACGUGUCGCCGACAGACAAGAAGAAAUUUAAAGUCAUUCUCCUUUUUUCUUUUCUUUUUUUAUGUUUUGUUUCUCCUCCUCUCGUUGCUUCAGUGUGGAUCACGUGGAGGUCGACACCCGCCGAGAAAAAUUCUACAAAACGAGCUUCAAAAGUCAAAAUGAUGAAUUAUUGUACAGUUGUAGUUUUUUUGGUUUGUGGUUUCCUGUAGUCCUCCAUCUUUAAAACCUGUAGGCAGAACUGAAGGGACUGGACCUGACACCUGGUCCAGUGGAGGUCCGCAGGUCUCAGCGUGGACCAGGAUCAGGUCCGGGUCUGUAGUGGAUCAUGUGAACAGGAAUUAAACCCUCAGUAUUUUCAGUCUGCGUCGCUUCUCAGAACAUUUGUGUCGCUUUGUUUCCCAGGACGUUAAAAAGGAAAAACUUUUUCUUAUCAUACCAGAAAAAAAAGAAAAAAACCCCGGCUGUUUUAAGGUUUUCUUUCCAAACAAUGUUUAUGGCAAUAAAACUGUAUCUUCAUCAUCA